UGAAACUACAGAGCCAUCCCACUUUUAGUUCAGACAGAAACCACUCAGACAGCGUGAAGGAUGUGUGCUGCUAAAAUGACAGAAGGGAACUUGAACAUGGAAUCCUGCAAGGCCCCUCUGUUUUAGAGACAAGCUGAACCGGCCACAGGUGAAGUCAAUCUGUCCGUCCUACUUCUGCACGGCAUCCGUUUCUCAUCUGAGAACUGGCUCAAUAUAGGCACACUGGAGACAUUGGUCAAAGCUGGCUGUCGUGCUGUGGCCAUCGACCUACCAAGUUUUGGCCAGUCUAAGUCAGCAGUGGCCCCCUCUGCUGUAGGAGAGCUGGCCCCUGGUGAAUUCCUGAAGCAGACUCCGUCUCUGAUGGUCUAUGGAGACCAGGAUGCUCAGCUAGGGGAGGUUUCUCUGAACAACCUGAGGAGCCUGGCCAAUCAUAAGGUGGUGUUGAUGAAAGGAGCAGGACAUCCGUGCUAUCUGGACGACCCAGCCACGUCGCACACAGCUCUCACUGACUUUCUCAGCACGUUGUGAUGUUGUUCAGUGUCAUUGGGAUAUCUGUCCAUGGAUGCAACACUAUACGACCAACAAUUCAACGUUGAAUACCUACUAACAUUUCUUUAUAUAAAAAAAUCUACUAUGUAUGUUGUUGCUAACUUGUGGAAUAGACACUGUCUGGAAUGCGGUUUUAACCAAUCAGCAUUCAGGUUUAGACCCACCCGUUGUAUAAUAUUUGUCAAAAGCUAGUAGGGAGGAUUUCUUAUAUCAAAGACUAACUUGUGAUGUUUUGGGGACCUGUAAAUAGGUCACUGAUGAAAAUAGUGUAUGUGAACUGUGUGUUUGUAGCCUAUACAGCAGGGCUCUCCCUCUCCAACCCUGUUCCUGGAGAGCUACCGGCCUGUAGGUUUUCACUCCAACCCCAGUUGCAACUAAACUG